rnacentral:rRNA from 1 species
ACACAUGCAGUCGAGCGGGGAAGGUAGCUUGCUACCUAACCUAGCGGCGGACGGGUGAGUAAUGCUUAGGAAUCUGCCUAUUAGUGGGGGACAACAUUCCGAAAGGAAUGCUAAUACCGCAUACGCCCUACGGGGGAAAGCAGGGGAUCUUCGGACCUUGCGCUAAUAGAUGAGCCUAAGUCAGAUUAGCUAGUUGGUGGGGUAAAGGCCUACCAAGGCGACGAUCUGUAGCGGGUCUGAGAGGAUGAUCCGCCACACUGGGACUGAGACACGGCCCAGACUCCUACGGGAGGCAGCAGUGGGGAAUAUUGGACAAUGGGCGAAAGCCUGAUCCAGCCAUGCCGCGUGUGUGAAGAAGGCCUUUUGGUUGUAAAGCACUUUAAGCGAGGAGGAGGCUACUUAGAUUAAUACUCUAGGAUAGUGGACGUUACUCGCAGAAUAAGCACCGGCUAACUCUGUGCCAGCAGCCGCGGUAAUACAGAGGGUGCGAGCGUUAAUCGGAUUUACUGGGCGUAAAGCGUGCGUAGGCGGCUUUUUAAGUCGGAUGUGAAAUCCCUGAGCUUAACUUAGGAAUUGCAUUCGAUACUGGGAAGCUAGAGUAUUGGGGAAAGGGAAUGGUAAAAUUCCAGGUGGUAGCGGUGAAAUGCGCGUAAGAGAUCUUGGAAGGAAAUACCGAUUGGGCGAAGGCAGCCAUCCUGGCCUAAUACUGACCGCUGAGGUACGAAAGGCAUGGGGGAGCAAACAAGGAUUAGAUACCCUGGUAGUCCAUGCCCGUAACGAUGUCUACUAGGCGGUUGGGGGCCUUUGAGGGCUUU